rnacentral:rRNA from 1 species
CUCCUACGGGAGGCAGCAGUGAGGAAUAUUGGACAAUGGGCGCAAGCCUGAUCCAGCCAUGCCGCGUGCAGGAAGACGCAUCUAUGGUGUGUAAACUGCUUUUGUACGGGAAGAAACACUCCUUCGUGAAGGAGCUUGACGGUACCGUAAGAAUAAGGAUCGGCUAACUCCGUGCCAGCAGCCGCGGUAAUACGGAGGAUCCAAGCGUUAUCCGGAAUCAUUGGGUUUAAAGGGUCCGUAGGCGGCUUAGUAAGUCAGUGGUGAAAGCCCAUCGCUCAACGAUGGAACGGCCAUUGAUACUGCUAGACUUGAAUUACUAGGAAGUAACUAGAAUAUGUAGUGUAGCGGUGAAAUGCUUAGAUAUUACAUGGAAUACCAAUUGCGAAGGCAGGUUACUACUAGUGGAUUGACGCUGAUGGACGAAAGCGUGGGGAGCGAACAGGAUUAGAUACCCUGGUAGUCCACGCCGUAAACGAUGGAUACUAGCUGUUCGGAGCAAUCUGAGUGGCUAAGCGAAAGUGAUAA